AGCUUAGUUUUAAUAGAAAAUGAAUUCUAUGACGCUGUUGUAAAACCACCUCUGAUUGGGCCGAUCCAAAAGCGGUGAUAACAAGCUGGAGAGUGUCAGAAGCAGGAAAUCUCCCUCAUUCUACAGAAAGACGGGCAAAGGGUUAAACCAGAAAAGCUGCCUCGUUUUACAAAAAGACUGCAAAGGUAAACAUUUUUUAAUUUUACCCUGAGCUUUAUUGUAUUUUUCUUAGCCACUUUUUUAUAGAGUUUUUACCCUGUGCUUACAAAACAGGCUUUCUCUUUGUCAAUUUUCCUUUUAAACCUCGUUUUUUCUUAACCUACAUUGGUAUUGACUAGUUUUAAUACGUUUGUUUCACUUUUAUUACACUGCCUUAGUACAUUUUCUUUUAAACCUAGUUUUUAAUGUUUUUAAAAGCCUUUUUCUUAGGACCCCUUUAUAGUUUUUGGCCAUGUGCUUACUUAACAGGUUUUGCUUCAGUCAAUUCCCCUUUUAAACCUAGCUGUAUUGUUUUUAAUAUUACUUAAUAAUAUUAAAAAGCUUUUUAUAACCUAUGUUGGCAGUCAAAAGUUUCAAUCCCU